rnacentral:rRNA from 1 species
AUGAACGCUGGCGGCGUGCCUAAUACAUGCAAGUCGAGCGAACGGACGAGAAGCUUGCUUCUCUGAUGUUAGCGGCGGACGGGUGAGUAACACGUGGAUAACCUACCUAUAAGACUGGGAUAACUUCGGGAAACCGGAGCUAAUACCGGAUAAUAUUUUGAACCGCAUGGUUCAAAAGUAAAAGACGGUCUUGCUGUCACUUAUAGAUGGAUCCGCGCUGCAUUAGCUAGUUGGUAAGGUAACGGCUUACCAAGGCAACGAUGCAUAGCCGACCUGAGAGGGUGAUCGGCCACACUGGAACUGAGACACGGGCCAGACUCCUACGGGAGGCAGCAGUAGGGAAUCUUCCGCAAAGGGCGAAAGCCUGACGGAGCAACGCCGCGUGAGUGAUGAAGGUCUUCGGAUCGUAAAACUCUGUUAUUAGGGAAGAACAUAUGUGUAAGUAACUGUGCACAUCUUGACGGUACCUAAUCAGAAAGCCACGGCUAACUACGUG